AAAAUAGAGGAAUUUGUUUCAGCACAUGGUACAGUACUCCUGUUUAUUGAAAAAUCUGUCCAAUGUUACAAUGAAUCAUUGCAUCAGCCAGAAUGUCCGUUCUUAACUUUUUCUACAAGAAAUUCAACUUGAAAAGGCCAACGGUAAAAACUUCAGCCUAAUCUCUAAGACUAUGGAGUCCUCAAAAAUGCUAAGAGGGGAAAAAUAAUCAAGGCAUUUAUUUUAAUCACAGUCUUAUGUGGUCCUACAAAAUUUAAGAUCAAUCUUAUCAAAGUUUUUCUAUAGACUGAACAUGUGACAUCACUGCCACAACAACAAAAAAAGCACUUUUGACUAUUUAGUUCAUAAAUACUAAACUAUUCCUGGUGUGUCAAAUUUAGACAGUACAGAUCAAUAUCCACCCUCUUGAUCAAUACAUACAGAGGAACACAUUAAGUCUAGGAAAAUGACACGUGCGCUUUCAGUGAGAACUUGGUAUUCAAUAAUAAAAUCGCUUAUUUAAUAUCACACAUUUGGGAAAAAAAAUAACACCUGUGUAAAACAGCCAAAUUUUCUCUGUAUUCAGAUCCAGUUUCACUGAUUAAUUUCACUCCCUUAACAAAUAUUCAUCAAGUACCUACUAAAGUCAAAAUUGAACAUGAGCAAUUUCUCAUCCAAAUCUUAGACAUGUAUAGUUAGUUACUAUGUUAUCAACCUCUCAAUAGGCCUUCUACUAGUCUUGAAUUACACUAGAAGAUGCACUUAAUAUGGUAUUUAUGUACAUGAUCAAAGUUUUAUGAUUAAUUCUUUAUUACAUCUCAACAGAUGUUCCUUACUUGAUGGCCCCUUACCAUGGGGGUUUCACUUCCCCUUUAUAUGGCUAAGAGAAAAUAUUGGAAUUCUAUAUUGGAAUUCUAAUAAGGGUUGUUUUGAGGAUAAAAUGAAAAUCAAUUUAUAAAGUUAAAAGGAUUCCAAAGCCAAUGUAGAAAUGUUUCUUUUGAAGGAAGACAACGUUCUCUUCAAAUAUUCUCAAAUGUUCACUACAGUUAUUUCUUAAGUCUAAAUGCUAAACACUUGUUAUCUGCACAGGCAAGGUUCUAGGAACUAAGAAUACAAUGGGGAAUGCAAUGGUCCCUACCCUCAUUAUGCUUACAUUUAACAAACUGGUAUUAUCUAUGUGCAAUGUACCAUGCCAGUGCUUUGGGGCAUACAAAGAAGACAUCCUGUCCUGGACUUUACAACUUAGUG